rnacentral:rRNA from 1 species
GACGAACGCUGGCGGUGUGCUUAACACAUGCAAGUGGUGCGACGAACCAGAGCUUGCUCUGGGGCAAAGCCGCGAACGGGUGAGUAACACGUGGGUAAUCUACCCCGAUGACCGGGACAACCCGAGGAAACUCGGGCUAAUACCGGAUGUGGUACGGAGACAUAAGUCUCUUUACUAAAGGUAGCUUCGGCUUCCGCAUUGGGAGGGGCCCGCGGCCCAUUAGCUAGUUGGUGGGUCAAGGCCUACCAAGGCAACGAUGGGUAGCUGGUCUGAGAGGACGAUCAGCCACACUGGGACUGAGACACGGCCCAGACUCCUACGGGAGGCAGCAGUGGGGAAUCUUGCGCAAUGCGCGAAAGCGUGACGCAGCAACACCGCGUGAGGGAAGACGGCCUUAGGGUUGUAAACCUCUUUCAGAUGGGACGAAGGUGAUGCGGUGAAUAGCCGAUGUCAUUGACGGUACCGUCAGAAGAAGCUCCGGCUAACUACGUGCCAGCAGCCGAC